rnacentral:pre_miRNA from 1 species
CUGAUACUCCCUCCGUUCCGAAUUACUUGUCGCAGAAAUGGAUGUAUCUAGAACUAAAAUACAUCUAGAUACAUCCAUACCCGCGACAAGUAAUUCGGAACGGAGGGAGUAGAUG